rnacentral:rRNA from 1 species
UACAGAGGUCCCGAGCGUUGUUCGGGAUUCAUUGGGCGUAAGGGUGCGAGUAGGCGGCGGGGCGAAGUCUGAUGUGAAAUCCUGGGGCUCAACCCUGGAACUGCAUUGGAUACUGCCUUGCUAGAGUACUGGAGAGGAAACUGGAAUUUACGGUGUAGCAGUGAAAUGCGUAGAGAUCGUAAGGAAGACCAGUGGCGAAGGCGAGUUUCUGGACAGUUACU